AGAGUUUGAUCCUGGCUCAGAACGAACGCUGGCGGCGUGCUUAACACAUGCAAGUCAAACGAGAAAGUCCCUUCGGGGAUGAGUAAAGUGGCGCACGGGUGAGUAAUACGUGGGUAACCUGCCCUAGUGACCGGGAUAACAUCUCGAAAGGGGUGCUAAUACUGGAUAAGACCACGGAACGGAGGUUCCGGGGUAAAAGAUGGCCUCUGUAUAUGCUAUCACAUUAGGAUGGGCCCACGGCCUAUCAGCUUGUUGGUGGGGUAAUGGCCUACCAAGGCUCCGACGGGUAGCCGGCCUGAGAGGGUGAACGGCCACACUGGAACUGAGACACGGUCCAGACUCCUACGGGAGGCAGCAGUGGGGAAUUUUGCGCAAUGGGCGAAAGCCUGACGCAGCAACGCCGCGUGAGGGACGAAGGCCUCCGGGUUGUAAACCUCUUUUAAUCGGGAAGAAACCUGUGCCUGUAAAUAAUGGGUACAGCUGACGGUACCGGUAGAAUAAGCCACGGCUAACUCUGUGCCAGCAGCCGCGGUAAGACAGAGGUGGCGAGCGUUGUUCGGAUUUAUUGGGCGUAAAGAGCGCGUAGGUGGUCUUGUAAGUCGGAGGUGAAAUCCCGGGGCUUAACCCCGGAACUGCCUUCGAUACUGCAAGACUUGAGUGCGGGAGAGGGUAGUGGAAUUCCCAGUGUAGAGGUGAAAUUCGUAGAUAUUGGGAAGAACACCAGUGGCGAAGGCAGCUACCUGGACCGCAACUGACACUGAGGCGCGAAAGCGUGGGGAGCAAACAGGAUUAGAUACCCUGGUAGUCCACGCCCUAAACGAUGGACACUAGGUGUGGGAGGUAUCGACCCCUUCCGUGCCGCAGCUAACGCAUUAAGUGUCCCGCCUGGGGAGUACGGUCGCAAGAUUAAAACUCAAAGGAAUUGACGG
rnacentral:rRNA from 1 species